rnacentral:rRNA from 1 species
UGCCAGCAGCCGCGGUAAUACGAAGGGGGCUAGCGUUGUUCGGAAUUACUGGGCGUAAAGCGCGUGUAGGCGGUGGCACAAGUCGGGUGUGAAAUCCCUGGGCUCAACCCAGGAAGUGCAUUGGAAACUGGCGAACUUGAGUACGGGAGAGGAAAGUGGAAUUCCGAGUGUAGGGGUGAAAUCCGUAGAUAUUCGGAGGAACACCAGUGGCGAAGGCGGCUUUCUGGACCGAUACUGACGCUGAGACGCGAAAGCGUGGGGAGCAAACAGGAUUAGAUA